rfam:Triticum aestivum genome assembly, contig: Triticum_aestivum_CS42_TGACv1_scaffold_592364_7BS
CAGGUACUCCCUUCGUUCGGAAUUACUCGUCCAAAAUAUGAAUGUAUCUAGAUGUAUUUUAGUUGUAGAUACAUCCAUUUUUGUGACAAGUAAUUUCGAACAGAGGGAGUAUAAA